GAUGAACGCUAGCGGCAGGCCUAACACAUGCAAGUCGAGGGGUAAGAAGAGCUUGCUUUUCUGAGACCGGCGCACGGGUGCGUAACGCGUAUACAAUCUACCUUGUACAGGGGGAUAGCCCAGAGAAAUUUGGAUUAAUACCUCAUAGUGUUAUUGAGUGGCAUCACUUGAUAACUAAAGUUCCAACGGUACAAGAUGAGUAUGCGUCCCAUUAGUUAGAUGGUAAGGUAACGGCUUACCAUGACAAUGAUGGGUAGGGGUCCUGAGAGGGAGAUCCCCCACACUGGUACUGAGACACGGACCAGACUCCUACGGGAGGCAGCAGUGAGGAAUAUUGGACAAUGGGGGCAACCCUGAUCCAGCCAUGCCGCGUGCAGGAUGACGGUCCUAUGGAUUGUAAACUGCUUUUAUACAGGAAGAACCCCUUCUUUGCGAAGAAGACUGACGGUACUGUAAGAAUAAGGAUCGGCUAACUCCGUGCCAGCCGCCGCAGUAAUAC
rnacentral:rRNA from 1 species